rnacentral:rRNA from 1 species
AGCGAACGCUAGCGGCAGGCUUAACACAUGCAAGUCGAGCGCCAGGUUUCGGCCUGGAGCGGCGAACGGGUGAGUAACACGUCGGUCACGUACCCUAUGGUUGGGAAUACCCCGGGGAAACUCGGAUCAAUGCCCCAUAUGUCCGAAAGGAUGAAAGCGCUUCGGCGCGCCAGAGGAUCGGCCUGCGGCCCAUUAUUUAAUCCUAGUUGGUGAGGUAACGGCUCACCAAGGGUACGAUGGGUAGCUGGUCUGAGAGGACGAUCAGCCACACUGGAACUGGGACACAGUCCAGAAUCCUACGGGAGGCAGCAGGGGGGAAUAUUGGACAAUGGGCGAAAGCAUGAUCCAGCCAUGCCGCGUGAGUGAUGAAGGCCUUCGGGUUGUAAAGCUCUGUCGUGGGGGAAGAAGUUCUGACGGUACCCCACAAGAAAGCACCGGCUAACUCCGUGCCAGCCGCCGCAGUAA